ACGAAGGCAGCAGUGGGGAAUAUUGGGCAAUGGGCGCAAGCCUGACCCAGCGACGCCGCGUGAGGGAAGAAGGUCUUCGGAUUGUAAACCUCUGUAGACAGGGACGAAGGAAGUGACGGUACCUGUAAAGUAAGCCACGGCUAACUACGUGCCAGCAGCCGCGGUAAUACGUAGGUGGCGAGCGUUAUCCGGAUUUACUGGGUGUAAAGGGUGUGUAGGCGGGGAAUCAAGUCAGAUGUGAAAAUUACGGGCUCAACCCGCAACCUGCAUUUGAAACUGAUUUUCUUGAGUGUGGGAGAGGUAAAUGGAAUUCCCGGUGUAACGGUGAAAUGUAUAGAUAUCGGGAGGAACACCAGUGGCGAAGGCGGUUUACUGGACCACAACUGACGCUGAGACACGAAAGCGUGGGGAGCAAACAGGAUUAGAUACCCUGGUA
rnacentral:rRNA from 1 species